GAUGAGGAAAAGGCCGAUGAACAAAUUGAAGAAGAAAGAAGGCUUAUGUAUGUUGCAAUCACAAGAGCAAAAGACAGAUUGUGCAUAAGUUGCCCACAAA
rnacentral:sRNA from 1 species